GUUUUGCAUGGAUCCCGGGACAAACUGCGGGCCCUUGUAGAGAAGCCAUCUUCAAUCAUCUAAAUCCAUCAGAAGAUUAACAAAUUAUGAUCAGAAAACUAAUUGCUCACAUUAAGCUAACCACUAAGAAUAUAAUAUUCAGAACAUAUAACUUUGGCAAAAAAUCAUCACAAAAUCCCAAUCGAAAAAUAAAAAAAGCCCCAACUUUAAAUUUUAAAGUUCUUUUCUCUUUCCACGAAGAACUCUUUUAUUAAAUGUAAACCGUAAGUUCUCCAAUACCAGUACAUACUAAAAUAAAUUAAUAAUAAUCCUCUUCAAUACACGGAAUGACGGAAUAUCAUACAAAAUAAAGUCACAAUCUCUAGUUUUCAUCUUCAUUGCUAAUCAAACAAUAAUGUCAACAAAUUAAUCACACAAAUUAAGCCCAACGGAUACCAAAUUGAAACAUAUAAUUCAGCUGAGAUAUCAUUCAACGACAAGUAUAUGUUUCCAUCUUUCUUUUUUCUGAGUCAACCUUUUCUUAUCUUUAUAAUCCAAAAUUCAAUAACUUAUACAGAAGUCAGUUUUAUCAUGUAUAUAAUCACACCUGAAUAAAGCUCUCGAUCUGCUUCAACAGUCAAUAACUUCUACCCACCAAUCGUGGCUUUGAACAUCUAGAAAAAAUCUUGGAAUUUUUUUUUGGAGCUUUCAUGUCAAAUAAAACAUUAGUUUAAAAAGCCUAGGAGCUAAACUUUUUU
rnacentral:lncRNA from 1 species